rnacentral:rRNA from 1 species
ACUCCUACGGGAGGCAGCAGUGGGGAAUAUUGCACAAUGGGGGAAACCCUGAUGCAGCCAUGCCGCGUGUGUGAAGAAGGCCUUCGGGUUGUAAAGACACUUUCUAGUAGGGAGGAAGGUAGUGUAGUUAACACCUGCAUUAUUUGUACGUUACCUACAGAAGAAGCACCGGCUAACUCCGUGCCAGCAGCCGCGGUAAUACGGAGGGUGCGAGCGUUAAUCGGAAUUACUGGGCGUAAAGCGCAUGCAGGCGGCCUGUUAAGUCAGAUGUGAAAGCCCGGGGCUUAACCUCGGAAUUGCAUUUGAAACUGGCAGGCUAGAGUCUUGUAGAGGGGUUAGAA